rnacentral:misc_RNA from 1 species
CCGCAACGAGCCCAGUACAGCAAAUCGAACGUUCAUCCUUCCUCUGUCCUUCUUUUCUUGUUUGUUCAUCGUUCAAAAUCCUCUCUGCCUCUGCAAUUUCUUCAUAUUUAUGUCCUCUUGAGCUUCCCAUACAGCAAGGAGCAGGGAUAGAGAGAGCGCGAAACCGAAAGUGAAUUGGAGAUGAUAACGCGAUCGAAUCUGGCAGAGCAGUUGAGAGAGUAUCAGAUUCGAUCCAAGCAUGACUGGGCCUCUGUUUCCUUCUUCUCUUCCACUUCUAAUCUAACUUCUUCAAGGUACGCCUGUUUAGAAUUUACCCUUUUUCUUAAUUUCCAAUUCUGACGCUUUUCUUUUUCAUGAAUUUGAUUUUUUUAAUUUGUUGUUCUCAUGCCUGCGCGAUCUAUAUGUUUUGAAUAACAUCAUUACGAGAUAAUUAUAGUUUGGAUUUUAGUAGAUCAGCUAGGAUUUUGGAUACCUCAGGCCAAUUUCUUAUUUUAGCUUUUCCAAUUCGUUAUUUCUUGUUUAGGAUUUUUGGAAUGGAUUUUUGAAGCUAAAAGUUUGGUAAUUAAAACUUUAGAGGAUGUUUUAAGUUCUUGAUUUGCACGAGGUUGUUCUGUUUGGUUAAGAAAAUCAUUUCCCUUUACUUGUGCACGUUUAUUGUAUGAGAUUUUUCCCAUUUGCUAUUAAUGGUUUGAAACGUUAUUGAAUUCCAUUACUGGAAGAAGAAGUAGAAUAGAAUUGGAAAUUCAAUCAACAUUGAGAGAUGAAAUAACCUUGUGCCAUCUUCAAGCAAGCUAAUAUUGAUUAUGUACAUAUAUGCAUUAGAAGGGUCUGCUUCUUAGGCCCACAAGGGAACUCCAGUUUACUACAGUUUGAUGGAUACAAGCUUUGGGCUUAAAUAGUAAACUCAAAAAGUUUAGUCUGAAUUUUAUUCAGUCUUUAGUUUUAUGGGAGGUAGUAAAAUGGAGCUUUACAGCAAAUUGCAUUUUAUUUAUGUGGAUAUAAAUUUGAAGGGAAAUUUGGAUGUGUAAAAGGAUUUAUGGUUCCCUUGAACAUUGGAAACCGCAGACACACCCCUCUCCCCCAAAAAAAAUAGAAGCAAUGAAAUCUUAGACUUAGAGACUGCACUGUUUAGGUUCCCACAAUAAGUUUGAAAGGAAGAGAAUCUAGUUGAUCGAUGCUAUACUUGGAUUUUAGUUUCUUUGGUUCAGUGGUAAUUGAGUUGUGCAGGUCAGUUUUCAUACUGCAUGAUAAUUAUUGGGACACUCACUUCUUGUAUGCAGAGAUUUUUUUUUCAUCUUUUCAUUUCUGUAAGGAGUUUUUAAGUGACUGUAGAAGGAAACUAAAUGAGAAAGUAAUAAAUUGAUAAAAGGCUAUCAGAAAUUGUGUUGCCAUCAUGUUUUUUGAUCUGAGGAAGUGAAUAAUUCCCAUGCUACUGGUGAUGUUGUGCUAGUUACUUGAAAAUCUCUUGCUUAUGGCAAUUGAAUUGCUUGAUUACCAAAGCUUCAAAUGUGAUUAUAGAUGACAUUGGUAUAACAUAUUUUGGGAUGGUUAUUUAUCCACAAGUCAUUCUCUUUUUGUAUUAUUACAUUGAUUCUAAUUCUUUGUAUGCUUGCAGGGUGGAUGUUGUAGUAUUUGUAAUAUGGGAACUCGUUAUUCUAGCUUUCCUUGUUUUUUCAGCAGUUUCUCUAUAUUUUAGGCAUAUGCAACUCGCUUUUAUCUUAGUAUGCAUUACAAUGCUAUUGCUUUUAUGCAUGAGAGUUGCGAAGCAAGUGAGAUUGGCCAGGAAAAAGAAACGAAGGAUGCUUCUACCUUUAUCCAUGUAAUACUAUGUAGGUAGCAAACCUUCUUCUGAAAGUGACACAACAUUGUUGUGUAAAUUGUGAGAAUUCUUGACCAUUGCUGUGGGGCCAUUCUCUCUUGCUUAUUGGAAUAUGUAAUCACACUUACAUCCAGUUUGAACACUUUGAUAAAAGCUGAAUGAAGUGGAGAGUUCUAAACAUUCAAAAAUGGAAAGCUGAGAUGUCUUAAUUCAAUGGGUUUUAUUGCACUAGGUUUAGUGGGUGCAGAUACUAAAGGUAUAGUUUCUUGGUACAUGCUUGUAGCAUGGAUUUUGGCUUAAACGAGCCAUAUCCAAAUUUUUGUACAAUUUGAAGAGCAAAUUGUGAGAUGAAUGUUUUUUUUUCCCCAAUGGAAUAUGUAACAGUCUUCAUUUUUGUUCGCCUGAAUUGCUAAGGUAAAGAAAAGGGAAGUUGGCUGUGAUAUUGUGAAUGCUAUAGCAUCUUUGUAUUUAUAUGCAAGGUGUAUAUGGUUACGCAUAACAUCCAAAUUUGUUGUGGGAAAAUUAUGGCUGGCUUCUUGUUUACCUCUGUGUAUGUAAUGUAUUAGGAAGAACAAGACUGAUUGAUAAUUUUAUACAUGGGGUGAUAAAUCUAUGGUGAGUUUUAG